UGCCAGCCGCCGCGGUAAUACGGAGGUUGCAAGCGUUGUUCUGAAUAACUGGGCGUAAAGGGAGUGCAGGCGGCCAAGUCAGUCUGAAGUGAAAGUCCGGGGCUCAACUCCGGAAGUGCUUCGGAUACUGCUUGGCUUGAGUACACGAGAGGUGAGUGGAAUUCCAGGUGUAGCGGUGAAAUGCGUAGAUAUCUGGAGGAACACCGGUGGCGAAAGCGGCUCACUGGCGUGAUACUGACGCUGAGGCUCGAAAGCGUGGGUAGCGAACGGGAUUAGAUA
rnacentral:rRNA from 1 species